CCAAUCAACAAUGAUGAAUUAGUCUUUCAUAUUCUCAAUUGACUUGGGUUCGACUAUGAUCAAAUCAUGACAGUGAUUGGUGCACGUGAUACACAUAUCUCCUUUAUUGAAUUACAUGAUAAACUACUGAAUUUGACA